rfam:Hordeum vulgare subsp. vulgare, WGS project CAJW01000000 data, contig: morex_contig_43266
AUUCUACUCCCUCCGUCCCAAAAUNNGUGACUCAAAAAUGACUCAAUUUUGUACUAAAGUUAGUGUAAAUUUGAGUCAUUUUUGAGUCACUUAUUUUGAGACGGAGGGAGUAUUAA